UACGUAGGCAGCAAGCGUUGUUCGGAGUUACUGGGCGUAAAGGGUGUGUAGGCGGUUCUUUAAGUUUGGUGUGAAAUCUCCCGGCUCAACCGGGAGGGUGCGCCGAAUACUGAGGGACUAGAGUACGGGAGAGGAAAGUGGAAUUCCUGGUGUAGCGGUGAAAUGCGUAGAUAUCAGGAGGAACACCGGUGGUGUAGACGGCUUUCUGGACCGUAACUGACGCUGAGACACGAAAGCGUGGGUAGCAAACAGG
rnacentral:rRNA from 1 species